rnacentral:rRNA from 1 species
GACGAACGCUGGCGGCGCGCUUAACACAUGCAAGUCGAACGGAAAGGCCUGCUUUCCCUUGUGGAUUGCGGGUACUCGCGUGGCGAACGGGUGAGUAACACGUGAGUGAUCUGCCCCCAACUUGGGUAUAAGCCUGGGAAACUGGGUCUAAUUCCCGAUAGGACUGCAGGGUGGUGCCUGUGGUGGACAACGAUUUUCUAGUGGUUGGGGAUGAGCUCGCGGCCUAUCAGCUUGUUGGUAGGGUAAUGGCCUACCAAGGCGGCGACGGGUAGCCGGCGUGAGAGGGUGGACGGCCACAUUGGGACUGGGAUACGGCCCAGACGCCUACGGGAGGCAGCAGUGUGGAAUAUUGCACAAUGGGCGGAAGCCUGAUGCAGCGACGCCGCGUGGGGGAUGACGGCCUUCGGGUUGUAAACUCCUUGCGACCGCGAGGAAGCCACCUGGUUGGAAGGGUGGUGACGGUAGUGGUAGAAGAAGCACCGGCUAACUACGUG